rnacentral:rRNA from 1 species
GAAUAAUACUCCAUAGAUUUAAACUGCUGGAAUGCUUUUAAAUUGAAAGAUUUAUCGCCUAAGGAUAAGUCUGCGGACUAUCAGGUUGUAGUUAGGGUAAAUACCUGACUAGCCUACGACGGAUACGGGUAGUGAGAGCUUUAGCCCGGAGAUGAUAUCUGAGACACGAUAUCAGGCCCUACGGGGCGCAGCAGGCGCGAAAACUUCGCACUGUGCGAAAGCACGACGAGGGAAUCCCAAGUGCUGGCUCGUAAGAGUCAGCUGUUUUUCUGUCUAAAAAACAGGGAGAGUAAGAGCUGGGUAAGACGGGUGCCAGCCGCCGCGGUAAUACCUGCAGCUCAAGUGGUGGCCGCUAUUAUUGGGCCUAAAACGUCCGUAGCCGGUUUCAUAAAUGCCUGGGUAAAUCAUACGGCUUAACCGUAUGAAUUCCGGGUAGACUGUUUAACUUGAGACCGGGAGAGGCUAGAGGUACUCCUGGGGUAGAGGUGAAAUUCUGUAAUCCUAGGGGGACCACCAGUGGCGAAGGCGUCUAGCUAGAACGGGUCUGACGGUGAGGGACGAAGCCCUGGGGAGCAAACGGGAUUAGAUACCCCGGUAGUCCAGGGUGUAAACGCUGCUCGCUUGAUGUUAGUCGGGCUCCGAGCCCAACUAGUGUCGGAGAGGAGUUGUUAAGCGAGCUGCCUGGGGAGUACGGUCGCAAGACUGAAACUUAAAGGAAUUGGCGG